UCCAAGGGGCACUAGCCACUUCAAAUAGAAGCAGUAUAUAGAUAACUCUUGUUCCCUAACAACUGUUGAGACACAUCUUGCAAUUUAACUCCCUCACAAAAUUUUAGGGACGAAGCGAUGGAAACCCCUCUAAGUUGGGGUUCAACCUCAUUUAUUUUGAGUAUUUAGCUAUUUUUGUUUGUACAUCAUUUAUUCUGAUUUAAAAAAAAAAUGUAAAAUGUCCCAUUUUCUUCCUUAAAAGAGUAAAUUUGCCACAAUGACAAUAAACUACAUAAAUUUUCCUGUUCUUUUUUUAAUAGUUCUACAUACCAUCGAAUCGUGAAGCGUUUUUUAAUAGUUUUAUUCAUUAUUACAUUCACAACCAUGCCCAUAUUAUUGAGCAAACUUGAGUAUCUUACAUUAGCUCAAAGUACUUCAACAGAAACGAGUAAAUUACAUCAUAGUAACAACAUAAAGAUUCAAGACCAAGUCCCACCUAACAUGACNNNNN
rnacentral:lncRNA from 1 species